GGUGGGGUGGCAGAGCGGCCAUGCGUUCGCCUGCAGAGCGAAUCUAUAGGGGUUCGAAUCCCCUCCCCACCUCCA
rnacentral:tRNA from 1 species